GUCCUUGUAGCGCAAUGGGUAGCGCGUUGGACCUCUAAUCCAAGUUCGUGGGCUCGAAUCCCACCAGGAAUA